UACGGGGGGGGCAAGCGUUGUUCGGAAUUACUGGGCGUAAAGGGCUCGUAGGCGGCCAACUAAGUCGGAUGUGAAAUCCCCAAGCUUAACUUGGGAACUGCAUCCGAUACUGGAUGGCUUGAAUCCGGGAGAGGGAUGCAGAAUUCCAGGUGUAGCGGUGAAAUGCGUAGAUAUCUGGAGGAAUACCGGUGGCGAAGGCGGUAUCCUGGACCGGCAUUGACGCUGAGGAGCGAAAGCUAGGGGAGCAAACGGG
rnacentral:rRNA from 1 species